rnacentral:rRNA from 1 species
GACGAACGCUGGCGGCGUGCUUAACACAUGCAAGUCGAACGGUAAGGCCCUGCUUUUGUGGCGUGCUCGAGUGACGCGCGGGUGAGUAUCACGUGAGUAGCCUGCCCUUUUCUGUGGGAUAACUUCAGUAGACUCGAACUCAUACCGGAUAUGAGCUCCUGAUGCAUGGUGGUGGAGGGAAAUUUUCGGCGGUUGGGGAUGCACUCGCGGCUGAUCAGCUUGUUGGUGGGGUAGUGGCUUACCAAGGCUCUGACGGGUAGCCGGCCUGAGAGGGUGACCGGCCACAUUGGGACUGAGAUACGGGCCAGACUCCUACGGGAGGCAGCAGUGGGGAAUAGUGCACAAUGGGCGGAAGCCUGAUGCAGCAACGCCGCGUGGGGGAUGACGGCCUUCGGGUUGUAAACCGCUUUCGGCUGUGACGAAGCGUAAGUGACGGUAAUUGGUAAAGAAGCACCGGCUAACUACGUG